GCCCAGGUGGUGGAAUUGGUAGACACGCAAGCUUGAGGGGCUUGUGGCCAACUUAUGGCCGUGGAGGUUCAAGUCCUCUCCUGGGCACCA
rnacentral:tRNA from 1 species